rnacentral:rRNA from 1 species
ACUGAACGCUGGCGGCAUGCCUUACACACGCAAGUCGAACGGCAGCACGGAGCUUGCUCUGGUGGCGAGUGGCGAACGGGUGAGUAAUAUAUCGGAACGUACCCAAGAGUGGGGGAUAACGUAGCGAAAGUUACGCUAAUACCGCAUACGAUCUAAGGAUGAAAGCAGGGGAUCGCAAGACCUUGUGCCCCUGGAGCGGCCGAUAUCUGAUUAGCUAGUUGGUGAGGUAAAGGCUCACAAAGGGAUCGAUCAGUAGCUGGUCUGAGAGGACGACCAGCCACACUGGAACUGAGACACGGUCCAGACUCCUACGGGAGGCAGCAGUGGGGAAUUUUGGACAAUGGGGGCAACCCUGAUCCAGCAAUGCCGCGUGAGUGAAGAAGGCCUUCGGGUUGUAAAGCUCUUUUGUCAGGGAAGAAACGGUGAAGGCUAAUAUCCUUUGCUAAUGACGGUACCUGAAGAAUAAGCACCGGCUAACUACGUGCCAGCAGCCGCCGUAA